rnacentral:rRNA from 1 species
UCCGUAGGUGAACCUGCGGAGGGAUCAUUACACAAAUAUGAAGGCGGGCUGGAACCUCUCGGGGUUACAGCCUUGCUGAAUUAUUCACCCUUGUCUUUUGCGUACUUCUUGUUUCCUUGGUGGGUUCGCCCACCACUAGGACAAACAUAAACCUUUUGUAAUUGCAAUCAGCGUCGGUAACAAAUUAAUAAUUACAACUUUCAACAACGGAUCUCUUGGUUCUGGCAUCGAUGAAGAACGCAGCGAAAUGCGAUAAGUAGUGUGAAUUGCAGAAUUCAGUGAAUCAUCGAAUCUUUGAACGCACAUUGCGCCCUUUGGUAUUCCAAAGGGCAUGCCUGUUCGAGCGUCAUUUGUACCCUCAAGCUUUGCUUGGUGUUGGGCGUCUUGUCUCUAGCUUUGCUGGAGACUCGCCUUAAAGUAAUUGGCAGCCGGCCUACUGGUUUCGGAGCGCAGCACAAGUCGCACUCUCUAUCAGCAAAGGUCUAGCAUCCAUUAAGCCUUUUUUUCAACUUUUGACCUCGGAUCAGGUAGGGAUACCCGCUGAACUUAAGCAUAUCAAUAAGCGGAGGA